AGACCUUGCUCUUGCCAGUGCCCGACGGGUGAGUAAUGUAUGGGGAUCUGCCCAAUGGAAGGGGACCACCGUUGGAAACAACUGCUAAUACCGUAUAAUGUCCCUAGACCAAAGUGUACUCAUGCCUUUUGAUGAACCCAUAUGGGAUUAUCUAGUAGGUACGUUAAAGGCCUACCUAAGCGACGAUCUCUAGCUGGUCUG
rnacentral:rRNA from 1 species